AGAUUAUCUUCAUUGUUUACCCAAAGAGGAGCGAGAGAAUAAUUUGCACCUCAGUACUGAGUCUCGUCACAUAUGAGGCCGUAUAAGAAGCCUAAGGUGACACAUGAAUUUGUAGAGUAAGGAGCAUAUUUGCUCCUUUAAGUGUAUCAACUGUAGCUUAACACAACAUAAAUAAGGAUAUUGAAGAACCAAUACUCAAAACAGAGA
rnacentral:misc_RNA from 1 species